GGCCCCCCCGGCCCGAGUUGUAAUUUGCAGAGGACGUCUCGGGCGCGACGCCGGUCUAAGUUCCUUGGAACAGGACGUCACAGAGGGUGAGAAUCCCGUACGUGACCGGCCGUCAACCCCAUGUGAGGCCCCUUCGACGAGUCGAGUUGUUUGGGAAUGCAGCUCUAAAUGGGUGGUAAAUUUCAUCUAAAGCUAAAUACCGGCCAGAGACCGAUAGCGCACAAGUAGAGUGAUCGAAAGAUGAAAAGCACUUUGGAAAGAGAGUUAAACAGUACGUGAAAUUGUUGAAAGGGAAGCGCUUGCCACCAGACUUGCCCGCGGGCGAUCCGCCGUCCUUCGGGGCGGUGCACUCGCCCGCGGUCAGGCCAGCAUCGGUUCGGGCGGCCAGACAAAGGCGGCGGGAACGUGGCUCCCCCCGGGGAGUGUUAUAGCCCGCCGCGCCAUGUGGUCAGCCGGGACCGAGGACCGCGCU
rnacentral:rRNA from 1 species